UACCAAGUAAACUAGACAAGGACUUAUGGGACUGUAACUAGCAAAAAAAAUAGAAGAAAAUAUGCUGCAAAGGGCAGAUUUUUCAACUGCAGUUACUUAAGGUGCUCUUGCAAAUUCUCCAUAAAGGAACAGGAUUUAUGUGAAUUAUCCAGGCGAUUGCAUGUAGAAAAGGGGAAUUAUAACAGCAUCCACUAUAAGACUGUUGCAUCCUCUCAACUAUUAUAUCUGAAUACUCACCACAGGAAAAUCCAUGGAAUGCUGAGCUUCCCAAAUCACGCAUGGGCCUAGAAGCAAAAUUCCUAUCUCGCAAAGACAAAACAAGUUUAUUAGGUAUCUUAGUGCCAUGCCAAGUCAAAGGAAUCUUCUUGUUGUCUUCAGCUCAAUGUAGGAGCGUGAAAACGUGUGGAAGAUGGAGGUGACUGGAAAUGCCAUGAGGAGAAUGCCACUCAAAAUGCUGCUUAAAGCCACCACCUGGCCUGGAAUGCUUCUGGGAACCAUGUCACCAUAGCCUACUGUUGUCAUGGUGAUUACUGCCCACCAGUAGGACGCAGGGAUGCUGGUAAACUCCUGUGAGUCCGCCAUCUCAUUCUCAAUGACAUACAAGAGCGGCGCAAAAAGCGCAAUGGCCACGCAGAGGAAGAGCAGCAAGAGUCCAAACUCCCGGGUACACCUGCGAGCGGGCAGAUGGACUUGCGUUCUUGGUGGCGUGAUACCUUCAUGCCUCUGACACAUCUCAGCAUAAAGGAAUUCAACAAUCACCUCCCCUUAAAGAGAAGAUGGAGGAUCCUGGGUAAGGAAAACCUUUGUAGAAUACACAAGUAUAGCCAAAGCUUCAUUCAACUCCUGAUAGAGCCACAGCGCUCUUUCCUGGCCUGAGGUAAGCAAAGAGGGCUUUGUCGUCUUGUUUGUAUCAUGGAGUAGGAUCUCCACUGCUGCUCCUCCAUGCUCCAUGAACACAACUGACUGGAAUGGUGCCAAAAACCCCUAUACGUUCAACUUUCCCUGCCUUAUUCCACAAACACUCGCUCACAAAACUGAGCUCUAAGUUGUUCUGUCUUGGCCAGGAACAUACACGUAUGGCAAUGCCCAAGGCAAGAGAAAUGCAAUUCUAAAAAAUCUUUGGAUCUGAAACGUGGAGCACAAACAAAGGGUCAAAUCCACUGGUCCUUAGGCAAGGUUCUAAUGGAUUUCAGUAAGUGUCUUGCCUGAAUAAAGAUGGAGUAAUGGGCUAUUGAUUCACAUGUCAUAUUUUCUGCAGAAACAUUAACACAAAAUGUAAUUCUAUGUAAAAAGACAUGGUCCGGGAA